ensembl:lncRNA
GAGGGCUGAGCUGCGAGAGGGAAUCUGGGCUGCCUGUUUCAAGGUGGGCCUAAGCCCUCGACUGUAAGUGAAUGAGGUUCCUGAGGGUCGUGGUGCGCGCCAUGCCCGUUGAGUCUCAUUCGGAAGGGAAAAUUUUGCCCCUGGGGAAAUGAAUGUCAGUCAUCAGGGAGCAAAGUCCCGGCAUAUUAUGGAGAGAUCCUGUUUUUAAGGCUCUGCACUGAUUUAUAGAAGCUCACUGAAAAUGUUAUAGUGGAAUGUUCAGUCAGGAGGUCUGCUUCUCCAGUUCUAUUUCUGCCCAGGACUGGCUAACUGGAGAGUGUAAAUUUUAAAAGAAAUAAUUUCAUAUGCACAUUUAUGCAAACUCCCUCAGGGGAAUGAGUGAAAGACUGUUUGAAACACUCUGAAUUUUUUGGAAGAAAGCUGCUGUAUAAAUUAAUAUGGAGUUUUUUUUGUUUUUUGUUUUUUUCCCUCCAUCCCAGGUCUGCAAGACAGNNNNNNNAAGAACUCCUCCCAUCACUCAUGGGAGAAAAUGAAGCUCUCUACUGGCCUCUAUCAGAGAAGCUAAAAAUUUCCCUCUUUUCUGCAAGUGUCCCAAACCCCAUGACUCUUAUUUCCAGGUAGAGAGACUGAUUUGAAGAACUACACGUAGCCACAAUACCUGUAAGUUUCACACUGCUAAAUUUUUUUUCUAAGCCUGAAAUCAUUAAUAUCUCUGUAAACAAUGAUGGGAAGUGGCUUUGUCUU